CAACGCCGCGUGAACGAUGAAGGCCUUCGGGUCGUAAAGUUCUGUUGUUAGGGAAGAACAAGUACCAGAGUAACUGCUGGUACCUUGACGGUACCUAACCAGAAAGCCACGGCUAACUACGUGCCAGCAGCCGCGGUAAUACGUAGGUGGCAAGCGUUGUCCGGAAUUAUUGGGCGUAAAGCGCGCGCAGGCGGUUUCUUAAGUCUGAUGUGAAAGCCCACGGCUCAACCGUGGAGGGUCAUUGGAAACUGGGGAACUUGAGUGCAGAAGAGGAGAGUGGAAUUCCACGUGUAGCGGUGAAAUGCGUAGAGAUGUGGAGGAACACCAGUGGCGAAGGCGACUCUCUGGUCUGUAACUGACGCUGAGGCGCGAAAGCGUGGGGAGCGAACAGGAUUAGAUACCCUGGUAGUCCACGCCGUAAACGAUGAGUGCUAAGUGUUAGAGGGUUUCCGCCCUUUAGUGCUGCAGCAAACGCAUUAA
rnacentral:rRNA from 1 species